UAGAAGUAGGAAACCUACUGCCAACAACAAGGAAACCCCACCAAUGAGAAUAUAUGCCAUCCCCAAGAAGUGAUUUCUUCCACCAACCCAAGUUGUGGUUGAAAGAACCAGGCUCUUUCUUCCUCCAAACUCUUUUCUGAAUGUAGGAAGUGCUGCUGUCCUCAUCCAAACAAUGAGAUCCUCUUGUUCACUCAACUGUGCAUGCCACAUGAUGACAAAGAUUCAUUUCUCAAGAUAUCAGAAAAGUGAAGAGGAAUUUUCUCUCAAGAAGUGAACAUAAAUACAAAUUAAUAUACGGCAAUGGAGAUAUAUUUACUUACAGAUAUCAUCCAAAAUCCAUGUUGGAAAGAUCAUUCAACAUUCAGUAUGAAAUUAUUUUUUUUUCUAUGAUCGAGUGAAGUUUUCUGAUUCAUCAGAAUUACAAUUACUACCCCAAAGUUCGAAUCUAA